rnacentral:rRNA from 1 species
AGCAGCCGCGGUAAUUCCAGCUCCAAUAGCGUAUAUUAAAGUUGUUGCAGUUAAAAAGCUCGUAGUUGAACUUCAGGCCUGGCUGGACGGUCCGCCCUCUGGGUGAGCACUGUCUGUGGUCGGGUCCUACCUUCUGGCGAAGCGGCAUGACCUUAACCGGCCGUGGCGGGGAACCAGGACUUUUACUGUGAAAAAAUUAGAGUGUUCAACGCAGGCACGCACUUGAAUACAUUAGCAUGGAAUAAUGGAAUAGGACAAUGGUUCUAUUUGUUGGUUUCUAGGACCGUUGUAAUGAUUAAUAGGGAUAGUUGGGGGCAUUAGUAUUCAAUUGUCAGAGGUGAAAUUCUUGGAUUUAUUGAAGUACUAACUACU